rnacentral:rRNA from 1 species
CCUACGGGUGGCAGCAGUGAGGAAUAUUGCACAAUGGGGGAGACCCUGAUGCAGCAACGCCGCGUGAGUGAGGAAGUCUUUCUGGAUUUAAAACUCUAUCAGCCGGGGAUAGAAAAGCAGAUACCUGAAGCAGACGCCCCGGCUAACUACAUGCCAGCAGCCGCGGUAAUGCGUAGGGGGGAGGCGUUACCCGGAUUUACUGGGUGGAAAGGGAGCGUAGACGGAAAGGCAAGUCAGAGGGGAAAACCCAAGGCUCAACCAUGGGACGGCGUUUGAAACUGUCAAACUAGAGUACGGGAGAGGUAAGCGGAAUUCCUAGUGUAGCGGUGAAAUGCGUAGAUAUCAGGAGGAACACCAGUGGCGAAGGCGUCUUACUGGACCGAAACUGACGUUGAGGCUCGAAAGCGUGGGGAGCAAACAGGAUUAGAUACCCGGGUAGUC